CGGGCGUUAAGUUGCAGGGUAUAGACCCGAAACCCGGUGAUCUAGCCAUGGGCAGGUUGAAGGUUGGGUAACACUAACUGGAGGACCGAACCGACUAAUGUUGAAAAAUUAGCGGAUGACCUGUGGCUGGGGGUGAAAGGCCAAUCAAACCGGGAGAUAGCUGGUUCUCCCCGAAAGCUAUUUAGGUAGCGCCUCGUGAAUUCAUCUCCGGGGGUAGAGCACUGUUUCGGCUAGGGGGCCAUCCCGGCUUACCAACCCGAUGCAAACUGCGAAUACCGGAGAAUGUUAUCACGGGAGACACACGGCGGGUGCUAACGUCCGUCGUGAAGAGGGAAACAACCCAGACCGCCAGCUAAGGUCCCAAAGUCAUGGUUAAGUGGGAAACGAUGUGGGAAGGCCCAGACAGCCAGGAUGUUGGCUUAGAAGCAGCCAUCAUUUAAAGAAAGCGUAAUAGCUCACUGGUCGAGUCGGCCUGCGCGGAAGAUGUAACGGGGCUAAACCAUGCACCGAAGCUGCGGCAGCGACGCUGAUGCGUUGUUGGGUAGGGGAGCGUUCUGUAAGCCUGCGAAGGUGGCCUGUGAGGGUUGCUGGAGGUAUCAGAAGUGCGAAUGCUGACAUAAGUAACGAUAAAGCGGGUGAAAAGCCCGCUCGCCGGAAGACCAAGGGUUCCUGUCCAACGUUAAUCGGGGCAGGGUGAGUCGACCCCUAAGGCGAGGCCGAAAGGCGUAGUCGAUGGGAAACGGGUUAAUAUUCCCGUACUUGGUGUUACUGCGAAGGGGGGACGGAGAAGGCUAUGUUGGCCGGGCGACGGUUGUCCCGGUUUAAGCGUGUAGGUGUGUGUUCCAGGUAAAUCCGGUUCACUUUAACACUGAGGCGUGAUGACGAGGCACUACGGUGCUGAAGCAACAAAUGCCCUGCUUCCAGGAAAAGCCUCUAAGCAUCAGGUAACAUCAAAUCGUACCCCAAACCGACACAGGUGGUCAGGUAGAGAAUACCAAGGCGCUUGAGAGAACUCGGGUGAAGGAACUAGGCAAAAUGGUGCCGUAACUUCGGGAGAAGGCACGCUGACACGUAGGUGAAGUGAUUUACUCAUGGAGCUGAAGUCAGUCGAAGAUACCAGCUGGCUGCAACUGUUUAUUAAAAACACAGCACUGUGCAAACACGAAAGUGGACGUAUACGGUGUGACGCCUGCCCGGUGCCGGAAGGUUAAUUGAUGGGGUCAGCGCAAGCGAAGCUCCUGAUCGAAGCCCCGGUAAACGGCGGCCGUAACUAUAACGGUCCUAAGGUAGCGAAAUUCCUUGUCGGGUAAGUUCCGACCUGCACGAAUGGCGUAAUGAUGGCCAGGCUGUCUCCACCCGAGACUCAGUGAAAUUGAACUCGCUGUGAAGAUGCAGUGUACCCGCGGCAAGACGGAAAGACCCCGUGAACCUUUACUAUAGCUUGACACUGAACAUUGAGCCUUGAUGUGUAGGAUAGGUGGGAGGCUUUGAAGUGUGGACGCCAGUCUGCAUGGAGCCGACCUUGAAAUACCACCCUUUAAUGUUUGAUGUUCUAACGUGGACCCGUGAUCCGGGUUGCGGACAGUGUCUGGUGGGUAGUUUGACUGGGGCGGUCUCCUCCUAAAGAGUAACGGAGGAGCACGAAGGUUGGCUAAUCCUGGUCGGACAUCAGGAGGUUAGUGCAAUGGCAUAAGCCAGCUUGACUGCGAGCGUGACGGCGCGAGCAGGUGCGAAAGCAGGUCAUAGUGAUCCGGUGGUUCUGAAUGGAAGGGCCAUCGCUCAACGGAUAAAAGGUACUCCGGGGAUAACAGGCUGAUACCGCCCAAGAGUUCAUAUCGACGGCGGUGUUUGGCACCUCGAUGUCGGCUCAUCACAUCCUGGGGCUGAAGUAGGUCCCAAGGGUAUGGCUGUUCGCCAUUUAAAGUGGUACGCGAGCUGGGUUUAGAACGUCGUGAGACAGUUCGGUCCCUAUCUGCCGUGGGCGCUGGAGAACUGAGGGGGGCUGCUCCUAGUACGAGAGGACCGGAGUGGACGCAUCACUGGUGUUCGGGUUGUCAUGCCAAUGGCACUGCCCGGUAGCUAAAUGCGGAAGAGAUAAGUGCUGAAAGCAUCUAAGCACGAAACUUGCCCCGA
rnacentral:rRNA from 1 species